rnacentral:rRNA from 1 species
GCCUACGGGAGGCAGCAGUGGGGAAUUGUUCGCAAUGGGCGCAAGCCUGACGACGCAACGCCGCGUGGAGGAUGAAGGUCUUCGGAUUGUAAACUCCUGUUGCUCGGGACGAAAAGCUUCGACCUAACACGUCGAAGUCUGACGGUACCGAGUGAGGAAGCCCCGGCUAACUCUGUGCCAGCAGCCGCGGUAAUA